rnacentral:rRNA from 1 species
CGCGGUUAUACCAAGUGAUUAAGUUAUAUUUUUAGGUAAAAAGACAGUUAGGUUUAAUAUAUAAGCUUAUUAAACAUUUAUAAAAAAGUAAAAUUUGUAUAUAAAUAGCUAAUCUAAAAAUAGCUAAAUAAUACUGAAGCUGUGAUAGUCUUGAGGGAAACUGGGAUUAGAUACCCCAUUAUUCUUGAUUGUAAAUAUAAUUAAAUUUACCAGAGUACUAUGAAUAGUUAAAAAUUUAAAACUCAAAGGGCUUGGCGGUGUUUUAGACCUAUCAGGGGAACCUGUCUCGUAAUCGACAAUCCACGUAAUAUCUAACCUUAUUUUGUAAUCAGUUUGUAUACCGUCGUCGUCAGGUAACUUUUAAAAAUAUAGAAGUUAGCAAUUAAAACUAUUUUAAGUUAAAACGUCAGAUCAAGGUGCAGCCUAUAAUAAGGAGAGGAUGGGUUACAAUUAUAAAAAUUAUAAUUAUGGAAAUUUAAAUGGAACUUAUUUUGAAGGAGGACUUGAAAGUAAACUAAAAUACAUAAAUAGUUUGAAUAAGGCUCUG